ensembl:lncRNA
GGUGAAAUCGAUUGCCGUUCCGUUGGUGACAACGGGGAGGCAGUUGAAAUCGUCCCACCUUUGGUGUUUUGACCAAUUGGUUACUUACUUUAAACUGGGAAACGUUCAAGGAUGCGUUCAAGGACAAAAAGGCAGGCCCAACAUAAACAAAACAAAGUAGUAAUCUCCAUUCAUUAAAAUGAAAAUCACUAAAAGAAAAUGCUGGGGAUUUGAGCAGAUUUAUCUGCUAAAGCCUACUGGCAAUUCAAGAGAACCAUGACAGACAGUUCAUUUAUGAAAACGACUGCAUUUGUUUUAAAAAUACAUCUAGCAGGUAGCUAGAAUUUCAUAUUGGUUGAUAGCAAAAGCUAGCAGUACUCAAUAUACAUAUGAACAGAUCGAGGGCAACUGUAAGUCCAAGACUCGGGAGCAAUCCCUUACUUCUUUUUUAUAUUGUCUCAAUAGACCUUGAGUAUGAAAUUAUAGAUUUUGUCCAGUUGUACUAGUAUAAUUAGCUGUUCGUCCGAUGUGUUGGUUAGGUUAUGGACUAUUAACUAUUGUAGUACCUCCUACCCAGAUAGCAAAAAAUAUCCGCAAGACUUCUUUUUGCCGCCGGCCCUUAGCUGUCGGCUAUAGGUGCGUCCUGCUGGCGGGGAUGAAACGUUUACCGCCGAAUACGUCACUCCCAUUUCUUGCGAGAUUUUUUGACUGCUUCAUUUUCUCUGGCGGUUGCCUGGGUCUAAAAACCGCGGUCCUUCGGCGGCAAGACGCUUUUAAAUAGGCUACUCUCAAAAUCGACCGGCCAUGUUGGUUUGGACACAUUCGCAUCAGUUCGUUGCUCAAUCGCGAGUUACAGUCUGCUAGCUAGCAAAGUCAUCGACUACCAUCGUUUAAAUACCUUGGCCAGAGCAUAACCGAUUAUCUUCACCCAAGAGACCUACUGUUGGGCAAUCGUUUUGGUUUUAAAGAAGUUGCAUUGAUUCCAGAAAACCAGGAAAAUGUUGAGCCAUCUGUAGACUUCAGAGUUGAACCAGGUUUCUCCCUAGUAAUCCAGACUCCACUUCAGAGCCAAGAGUUUGAGUACAAGGCACUUGACUUUCUGGAUAAAAGGUGUGGAGGUGUGUUGUACAUAUCAUUAGCUUUGCACAGUUCAAUUAUUGUUUCAUUACUGAAUAUGCAAUCUCUGCAGUGAAAUUAAAGCUUUUUCCCCCAGUUCGUCAAGUACUAAACAUUACACCCCCAGCAGAAAAUGUACCCUGGCAGCAAAUGGGUGAAAAGGCUGGAGGAGAAAGUCAUCGCUCCGUUAUUGGCCCUUGGACUCCCCUGGCGUCGCAUGUACAGCAUGAAGUUUUCAGCAAUGAAGGUAUAUUCUAGGCCUAUGUCCUAAUGUCCAGUUUUUUAACAGUUUUGAAAAUAGUGCCUUUAGUUUUCCAGAACGAAAACCAAGCCCUGAGGGAGGAGAACCAAGCCCUGAGGGAGGAGAACCAAGCCCUGAGGGAGGAGAACCAAGCCCUGAGGGAGGGGAGCCAUGCCCUGAGGGAGGAGAACCAAGCCCUGAGGGAGGGGAGCCAUGCACGAGCAGCUUCGGGUGACAGCGGCUCGCUUCAAGAGCAGGUGAAGCUAUUUGGGACAAUGCUGAAGACGUUUGCUCGCACUGGGCAAUCAGGUACAACUUUGCAAACAACACCUGUGGUUGUUGAUUUAAUUCAUUACUUGUUAUGUUUACUGGUAAUUAUUUUCAUCCCAGAGCUGACCUCUAUAUUAUUAACAAUGAUUGUGUUUGUUAUAAUUUGCUUGUAUGGCUGUUUUUUUUAACCAACAUUUUAUUGGAAACCUGCAUGUUCUGUGUGUAUUUAUGCCUAUUAUUUAUUUCAGUGAUCUGACACAUCUUGUUUGAAUGACA